rnacentral:rRNA from 1 species
UACAGAGGUCCCAAGCGUUGUUCGGAUUCAUUGGGCGUAAAGGGUGUGUAGGUGGCGCGCUAAGUCGGGUGUGAAAUCUCGGGGCUUAACUCCGAAACUGCAUUCGAUACUGCCGUGCUUGAGGACUGGAGAGGAGACUGGAAUUUACGGUGUAGCGGUGAAAUGCGUAGAUAUCGGUAGGAACACCAGUGGCGAAGGCGGUCUCCUGGGGCAUUCUUGACGCUGAGGCGCGAAAGCUGGGGGAGCAAACGGG